UCCAUAUUUUGAAAACAUUGUAUAUGAGUUUCAUUGGGAUGAAACUCUCUCUGCUCCCAUGAAACUCUUAUCAUCUCUUUUUUCAUUACUACAGCGCAGGCCCGUACCUGAGAAUUUUAGGCCUUGGUGCAAAUCAUACAAAUGGGGUCUUAUAGAGCAAUACAAAUAACUAAAGUGCAUUUGAUUUUAUUAUAUAAUCCAUGUUUUCUCACAAUAUCAAGAACUACAGACAGACAUAUUGAUGCUAAAAUAUUAAAUGUUGAAUCUAAACCUUAUUACUAUCUUCUUAACUUGGAGUAAAAAUCAUCAUUCUUCAGGGAUUCUUUGAAAUAAAAUCAUCGUUCUCUGGGUAUUCUUUAAAAUCAUCAUAUUUUUUAAUACUAGAAGACAUCAGAUAAAAAUAGAAUACCCUGUUUCGUGAAUAAAAACCCAACAAAACAAAUCAAAACGACAAAAACAUAUGACGAAUGUUACUAAUUAGCAAAGAAAGUAAAGGGCAUGUGCUUGGGAUCAGGGAUCGCCAAGUUGCUGCUUGUGCAGUCUUCCAGAAGAACGGGUAGCGGCGGCAGUGUCGGUUCGGCUCUCCAUGCUUCAACAUGUACUCCUAGUCAAAAUGCGAUGCAGGAAAUCACAUAAAACUAUUAGGCCGCCAGGCUACAACAUGAAAAAACAAAAACAAAAAGCCCAUAGAGACAUAUUAUCCUCUUGAAGCCCAAUCGGAGGGGGCCCUAAAAUUUGGAGGCCUAGUUCCAUCGCCCCACUUGCACUGGGCCAAAUACGGGCCUGCUACAGCGCCACAUCAGUAUAGUUAAUGUGCUUGAAACUCUCAUGAAACUCCAUUGAGACCGUUCUAAAGGAUCUCAAGGAACUCCAACGAUUGGUAGUGGAUUGACACAAGGUUAGUAGGAAGCUCGCACUAACAAAAUAGCCUUUCUUAUCUCCCC
rnacentral:lncRNA from 1 species